CUAUUAGGUUGGUGCAAAAGUAAUUGCGGUUUUUGGCAUUAAAAGUUACGCCAAAAACCGCAAUUA
rnacentral:miRNA from 1 species